GGGUUGUGAGGUUAAGCGACUAAGCGUACACGGUGGAUGCCCUGGCAGUCAGAGGCGAUGAAGGACGUGCUAAUCUGCGAUAAGCGUCGGUAAGGUGAUAUGAACCGUUAUAACCGGCGAUUUCCGAAUGGGGAAACCCAGUGUGUUUCGACACACUAUCAUUAACUGAAUCCAUAGGUUAAUGAGGCGAACCGGGGGAACUGAAACAUCUAAGUACCCCGAGGAAAAGAAAUCAACCGAGAUUCCCCAGUAGCGGCGAGCGAACGGGGAGCAGCCCAGAGCCUGAAUCAGUGUGUGUGUUAGUGGAAGCGUCUGGAAAGGCGCGCGAUACAGGGUGACAGCCCCGUACACAAAAAUGCACAUGCUGUGAGCUCGAUGAGUAGGGCGGGACACGUGGUAUCCUGUCUGAAUAUGGGGGGACCAUCCUCCAAGGCUAAAUACUCCUGACUGACCGAUAGUGAACCAGUACCGUGAGGGAAAGGCGAAAAGAACCCCGGCGAGGGGAGUGAAAAAGAACCUGAAACCGUGUACGUACAAGCAGUGGGAGCACGCUUAGGCGUGUGACUGCGUACCUUUUGUAUAAUGGGUCAGCGACUUAUAUUCUGUAGCAAGGUUAACCGAAUAGGGGAGCCGAAGGGAAACCGAGUCUUAACUGGGCGUUAAGUUGCAGGGUAUAGACCCGAAACCCGGUGAUCUAGCCAUGGGCAGGUUGAAGGUUGGGUAACACUAACUGGAGGACCGAACCGACUAAUGUUGAAAAAUUAGCGGAUGACUUGUGGCUGGGGGUGAAAGGCCAAUCAAACCGGGAGAUAGCUGGUUCUCCCCGAAAGCUAUUUAGGUAGCGCCUCGUGAAUUCAUCUCCGGGGGUAGAGCACUGUUUCGGCAAGGGGGUCAUCCCGACUUACCAACCCGAUGCAAACUGCGAAUACCGGAGAAUGUUAUCACGGGAGACACACGGCGGGUGCUAACGUCCGUCGUGAAGAGGGAAACAACCCAGACCGCCAGCUAAGGUCCCAAAGUCAUGGUUAAGUGGGAAACGAUGUGGGAAGGCCCAGACAGCCAGGAUGUUGGCUUAGAAGCAGCCAUCAUUUAAAGAAAGCGUAAUAGCUCACUGGUCGAGUCGGCCUGCGCGGAAGAUGUAACGGGGCUAAACCAUGCACCGAAGCUGCGGCAGCGACGCUGAUGCGUUGUUGGGUAGGGGAGCGUUCUGUAAGCCUGCGAAGGUGUGCUGUGAGGCAUGCUGGAGGUAUCAGAAGUGCGAAUGCUGACAUAAGUAACGAUAAAGCGGGUGAAAAGCCCGCUCGCCGGAAGACCAAGGGUUCCUGUCCAACGUUAAUCGGGGCAGGGUGAGUCGACCCCUAAGGCGAGGCCGAAAGGCGUAGUCGAUGGGAAACAGGUUAAUAUUCCUGUACUUGGUGUUACUGCGAAGGGGGGACGGAGAAGGCUAUGUUGGCCGGGCGACGGUUGUCCCGGUUUAAGCGUGUAGGCUGGUUUUCCAGGCAAAUCCGGAAAAUCAAGGCUGAGGCGUGAUGACGAGGCACUACGGUGCUGAAGCAACAAAUGCCCUGCUUCCAGGAAAAGCCUCUAAGCAUCAGGUAACAUCAAAUCGUACCCCAAACCGACACAGGUGGUCAGGUAGAGAAUACCAAGGCGCUUGAGAGAACUCGGGUGAAGGAACUAGGCAAAAUGGUGCCGUAACUUCGGGAGAAGGCACGCUGAUAUGUAGGUGAAGUCCCUCGCGGAUGGAGCUGAAAUCAGUCGAAGAUACCAGCUGGCUGCAACUGUUUAUUAAAAACACAGCACUGUGCAAACACGAAAGUGGACGUAUACGGUGUGACGCCUGCCCGGUGCCGGAAGGUUAAUUGAUGGGGUCAGCGCAAGCGAAGCUCUUGAUCGAAGCCCCGGUAAACGGCGGCCGUAACUAUAACGGUCCUAAGGUAGCGAAAUUCCUUGUCGGGUAAGUUCCGACCUGCACGAAUGGCGUAAUGAUGGCCAGGCUGUCUCCACCCGAGACUCAGUGAAAUUGAACUCGCUGUGAAGAUGCAGUGUACCCGCGGCAAGACGGAAAGACCCCGUGAACCUUUACUAUAGCUUGACACUGAACAUUGAGCCUUGAUGUGUAGGAUAGGUGGGAGGCUUUGAAGUGUGGACGCCAGUCUGCAUGGAGCCGGCCUUGAAAUACCACCCUUUAAUGUUUGAUGUUCUAACGUGGACCCGUAAUCCGGGUUGCGGACAGUGUCUGGUGGGUAGUUUGACUGGGGCGGUCUCCUCCUAAAGAGUAACGGAGGAGCACGAAGGUUGGCUAAUCCUGGUCGGACAUCAGGAGGUUAGUGCAAUGGUAUAAGCCAGCUUGACUGCGAGCGUGACGGCGCGAGCAGGUGCGAAAGCAGGUCAUAGUGAUCCGGUGGUUCUGAAUGGAAGGGCCAUCGCUCAACGGAUAAAAGGUACUCCGGGGAUAACAGGCUGAUACCGCCCAAGAGUUCAUAUCGACGGCGGUGUUUGGCACCUCGAUGUCGGCUCAUCACAUCCUGGGGCUGAAGUAGGUCCCAAGGGUAUGGCUGUUCGCCAUUUAAAGUGGUACGCGAGCUGGGUUUAGAACGUCGUGAGACAGUUCGGUCCCUAUCUGCCGUGGGCGCUGGAGAACUGAGGGGGGCUGCUCCUAGUACGAGAGGACCGGAGUGGACGCAUCACUGGUGUUCGGGUUGUCAUGCCAAUGGCACUGCCCGGUAGCUAAAUGCGGAAGAGAUAAGUGCUGAAAGCAUCUAAGCACGAAACUUGCCCCGAGAUGAGUUCUCCCUGACUCCUUGAGAGUCCUGAAGGAACGUUGAAGACGACGACGUUGAUAGGCCGGGUGUGUAAGCGCAGCGAUGCGUUGAGCUAACCGGUACUAAUGAACCGUGAGGCUUAACCUUACAACGCCGAAG
rnacentral:rRNA from 1 species